rnacentral:rRNA from 1 species
AGUAAAAGUCGUAACAAGGUUUCCGUAGGUGAACCUGCGGAAGGAUCAUUAACGAGUUUACUGAGUUGUCGCUGCCCUCUUGGGGGAUGUGCACGCUCUUUCACUCAUCUACACACCUGUGAACCUAUGCGAGUCAAUGGGGGAUUAGCGAAAGAGGACUGAAAGGUCUUCGACUAGCGUUCUCUGUCGGCUCGAUUUUUUAUAAACUCUUGUAUGUCUCAGAAUGUCUACUUUGCUUUAACGCAAUAAAUACAACUUUCAACAACGGAUCUCUUGGCUCUCGCAUCGAUGAAGAACGCAGCGAAAUGCGAUAAGUAAUGUGAAUUGCAGAAUUCAGUGAACCAUCGAAUCUUUGAACGCACCUUGCGCUCCCUGGUAUUCCGGGGAGCAUGCCUGUUUGAGUGUCAUGAAUCUCUCAACCUACUAGAUUGAAAAAUCGAAAUAGUGUUGGACUUGGAGGCUUGCUGGCCUAGUCAGCUCCUCUCAAAUGCAUUAGCUAUGGAUCGCGCAGUUAUUAGAUCUACGGUGUGAUACAUGUCUUACCAAUGGAUCGAAAGCUAUAAUCACCCCCUCUU